rnacentral:rRNA from 1 species
GGUUGACCUCGGAUCAGGUAGGGAUACCCGCUGAACUUAAGCAUAUCAAUAAGCGGAGGAAAAGAAACCAACCGGGAUUGCCUCAGUAACGGCGAGUGAAGCGGCAAGAGCUCAAAUUUGAAAGCUGGCUCCUUCGGAGUCCGCAUUGUAAUUUGCAGAGGAUGCUUUGGGUGCGGCCCCCGUCUAAGUGCCCUGGAACGGGCCGUCAGAGAGGGUGAGAAUCCCGUCUUGGGCGGGGUGUCCGUGCCCGUGUAAAGCUCCUUCGACGAGUCGAGUUGUUUGGGAAUGCAGCUCUAAAUGGGUGGUAAAUUUCAUCUAAAGCUAAAUACUGGCCGGAGACCGAUAGCGCACAAGUAGAGUGAUCGAAAGAUGAAAAGCACUUUGAAAAGAGAGUUAAACAGCACGUGAAAUUGUUGAAAGGGAAGCGCUUGCGACCAGACUCGCCCGCGGGGUUCAGCCGGCAUUCGUGCCGGUGUACUUCCCCGUGGGCGGGCCAGCGUCGGUUUGGGCGGCCGGUCAAAGGCCCCUGGAAUGUAGUGCCCUCCGGGGCACCUUAUAGCCAGGGGUGCAAUGCGGCCAGCCUGGACC